AAGACUGACUAAGCAUGUAGUACCGAGGAUGUAGGAAUUUCGGACGCGGGUUCAACUCCCGCCAGCUCCACCA
rnacentral:tmRNA from 1 species